rnacentral:piRNA from 1 species
UUUAGGACAAAUUAAUUAAAAGU